rnacentral:rRNA from 1 species
GUAGGUGGCAAGCGUUGUCCGGAAUUAUUGGGCGUAAAGCGCGCGCAGGCGGUUCUUUAAGUCUGAUGUGAAAGCCCACGGCUCAACCGUGGAGGGUCAUUGGAAACUGGAGAACUUGAGUACAGAAGAGGAAAGCGGGAUUCCACGUGUAGCGGUGAAAUGCGUAGAGAUGUGGAGGAACACCAGUGGCGAAGGCGGCUUUCUGGUCUGUAACUGACGCUGAAGCGCGAAAGCGUGGGGAGCAAACAGGGAUUAGAUACCCUGGUAGUCCACGCCGUAAACGAUGAGUGCUAAGUGUUAGGGGGUUUCCGCCCCCUUAGUGCUGCAGCUAACGCAUUAAGCACUCCGCCUGGGGAGUACGGCCGCAAGGCUG